CAGUAGCCACGGGAAAACGUAGGGUGCAAGCGUUAAUCGGAAUUACUGGGCGUAAAGCGUGCGCAGGCGGCUUCUUAAGUCGGAUGUGAAAUCCCUGAGCUUAACUUAGGAAUUGCAUUCGAUACUGGGAAGCUAGAGUAUGGGAGAGGAUGGUAGAAUUCCAGGUGUAGCGGUGAAAUGCGUAGAGAUCUGGAGGAAUACCGAUGGCGAAGGCAGCCAUCUGGCCUAAUACUGACGCUGAGGUACGAAAGCAUGGGGAGCAAACAGGAUUAGAUACCCGGGUAGUCCCUGUCUCUUAUAC
rnacentral:rRNA from 1 species